UGGUUCGAUCCUGGCUCAGAGUGAACGCUGGCGGCGUGCCUAAUACAUGCAAGUCGAACGAUGAAGCUCUAGCUUGCUAGAGUGGAUUAGUGGCGCACGGGUGAGUAAUGCAUAGAUAACAUGCCCUUUAGUCUAGGAUAGCCAUUGGAAACGAUGAUUAAUACUGGAUACUCCUUACGAGGGAAAGUUUUUCGCUAAAGGAUUGGUCUAUGUCCUAUCAGCUUGUUGGUGAGGUAAUGGCUCACCAAGGCUAUGACGGGUAUCCGGCCUGAGAGGGUGAACGGACACACUGGAACUGAGACACGGUCCUGACUCCUACGGGAGGCAGCAGUAGGGAAUAUUGCUCAAUGGGGGAAACCCUGAAGCAGCAACGCCGCGUGGAGGAUGAAGGUUUUCGGAUUGUAAACUCCUUUUGUUAGAGAAGAUAAUGACGGUAUCUAACGAAUAAGCACCGGCUAACUCCGUGCCAGCAGCCGCGGUAAUACGGAGGGUGCAAGCGUUACUCGGAAUCACUGGGCGUAAAGAGCGCGUAGGCGGGAUAGCAAGUCAGAUGUGAAAUCCUAUGGCUUAACCAUAGAACUGCAUUUGAAACUGUUAUUCUAGAGUAUGGGAGAGGUAGGUGGAAUUCUUGGUGUAGGGGUAAAAUCCGUAGAGAUCAAGAGGAAUACUCAUUGCGAAGGCGACCUGCUAGAACAUAACUGACGCUGAUGCGCGAAAGCGUGGGGAGCAAACAGGAUUAGAUACCCUGGUAGUCCACGCCCUAAACGAUGAAUGCUAGUUGUUGUGGAGCUUGUCUCUGCAGUAAUGCAGCUAACGCAUUAAGCAUUCCGCCUGGGGAGUACGGUCGCAAGAUUAAAACUCAAAGGAAUAGACGGGGACCCGCACAAGCGGUGGAGCAUGUGGUUUAAUUCGAAGAUACACGAAGAACCUUACCUAGGCUUGACAUUGAUAGAAUCCGCUAGAGAUAGUGGAGUGCUAGCUUGCUAGAACUUGAAAACAGGUGCUGCACGGCUGUCGUCAGCUCGUGUCGUGAGAUGUUGGGUUAAGUCCCGCAACGAGCGCAACCCUCGUCCUUAGUUGCUAACUAUUCGGUAGAGCACUCUAAGGAGACUGCCUUCGCAAGGAGGAGGAAGGUGAGGAUGACGUCAAGUCAUCAUGGCCCUUACGCCUAGGGCUACACACGUGCUACAAUGGGAAGCACAAAGAGAUGCAAUAUUGUGAAAUGGAGCAAAUCUAUAAAACUUCUCUCAGUUCGGAUUGUAGUCUGCAACUCGACUACAUGAAGCUGGAAUCGCUAGUAAUCGUAAAUCAGCUAUGUUACGGUGAAUACGUUCCCGGGUCUUGUACUCACCGCCCGUCACACCAUGGGAGUUGUAUUCGCCUUAAGUCGGAAUGCCAAACUGGCUACCGCCCACGGCGGAUGCAGCGACUGGGGUGAAGUCGUAACAAGGUACCC
rnacentral:rRNA from 1 species